rnacentral:rRNA from 1 species
CACGUAGGGCGCAAGCGUUAUCCGGAAUUAUUGGGCGUAAAGAGCUCGUAGGCGGUUUGUCGCGUCUGCCGUGAAAGUCCGGGGCUCAACUCCGGAUCUGCGGUGGGUACGGGCAGACUAGAGUGAUGUAGGGGAGACUGGAAUCCUGGUGUAGCGGUGAAAUGCGCAGAUAUCAGGAGGAACACCGAUGGCGAAGGCAGGUCUCUGGGCAUUAACUGACGCUGAGGAGCGAAAGCAUGGGGGAGCGAACAGG